UACGUAGGGCGCAAGCGUUAUCCGGAAUUAUUGGGCGUAAAGAGCUCGUAGGCGGUUUGUCGCGUCUGCCGUGAAAGUCCGGGGCUCAACUCCGGAUCUGCGGUGGGUACGGGCAGACUAGAGUGAUGUAGGGGAGACUGGAAUUCCUGGUGUAGCGGUGAAAUGCGUAGAGAUCCGGAGGAACACCGAAGGCGAAGGCAGUGUCCUGGCGAGUGACUGACGCUGAGGUGCGAAAGCCAGGGGAGCGAACGGG
rnacentral:rRNA from 1 species